rnacentral:rRNA from 1 species
CUGGCGGUGCUACCAUGCAAGUCGAACGUGAUCCGCCCUUCGGGGUGGUGAAAGUGGCGCACGGGUGAGUAACGCGUGGAUAAUCUGCCCGAGGAUUUGGGAUAACAUCUCGAAAGGGGUGCUAAUACCGAAUAAGCCCACGGGGUCUACGGAUCUUGCGGGAAAAGGGGGGGACCUUCGGGCCUCCUGUCCUUGGAUGAGUCUGCGUACCAUUAGCUAGUUGGUGGGGUAAUGGCCUACCAAGGCGACGAUGGUUAGCUGGUCUGAGAGGAUGAUCAGCCACACUGGAACUGAGACACGGUCCAGACUCCUACGGGAGGCAGCAGUGGGGAAUUUUGCGCAAUGGGGGAAACCCUGACGCAGCAACGCCGCGUGGGUGAUGAAGGCCUUCGGGUCGUAAAGCUCUGUCUGGAGGGAAGAAAUGAUUGGGAGCUAAUACCUCUUGAUCUUGACGGUACCUCUGAAGGAAGCACCGGCUAACUCCGUGCCAGCAGCCGCGGUAAUACGGAGGGUGCAAGCGUUGUUCGGAAUUAUUGGGCGUAAAGCGCGUGUAGGCGGUCUUUUAAGUCUGAUGUGAAAGCCCCGGGCUCAACCUGGGAAGUGCAUUGGAAACUGGGAGGCUUGAGUACGGGAGAGGAGAGUGGAAUUCCUAGUGUAGGAGUGAAAUCCGUAGAUAUUAGGAGGAACACCGGUGGCGAAGGCGGCUCUCUGGACCGAUACUGACGCUGAGACGCGAAAGCGUGGGUAGCAAACAGGAUUAGAUACCCUGGUAGUCCACGCCGUAAACGAUGAGUACUAGUGUUGCGGGUAUUGACUCCUG